rnacentral:rRNA from 1 species
UACGGAGGGUGCAAGCAUUGAUCGGAAUUACUGGGCGUAAAGGGCGCGUAGGCGGCAAAAUAAGUCAGAUGUGAAAUUCCACAGCUCAACUGUGGAGCUGCAUUUGAAACUGUUUAGCUAGAGCGUAACUAGGGAAAACGGAAUUCCACAUGUAGCGGUGAAAUGCGUAGAUAUGUGGAGGAACACCGGUGGUGAAGACGGUUUUCUGGGUUAUAGCUGACGCUGAGGCGCGAAAGCUAGGGGAGCAAACAGG